AAGUCGUAACAAGGUUUCCGUAAUGACAGCGUCAUUGAAGUGUGAUGGGGAGGUCGCUUAACGCACGCUGUAGGCUCACACGAGCCGGCGUCCAAAUCACCGGGCGCAAGCCCCCCUAAAACCACAUGUCAGCGCCGUAAAAAACGAACAACUGUUAACAAUGUCUUGGUUCUC
rnacentral:misc_RNA from 1 species